rnacentral:rRNA from 1 species
CCUACGUGUGGCAGCAGUGGGGAAUAUUGCACAAUGGGGGGAACCCUGAUGCAGCAACGCCGCGUGGGUGAAGAAGUACUCCGGUAUGUAAAGCCCUGUCAGCAGGGAAGAAAAUGACGGUACCUGACCAAGAAGCCACGGCUACCUACGUGCCAGCAGCCGCGGUAAUACGUAGGGGGCAAGCGUUAUCCGGAUUUACUGGGUGGAAAGGGAGCGUAGACGGCAAGGCAAGUCUGGAGUGAAAGCCCGGGGCCCAACCACGGGACUGCUUUGGAAACUGUGUUGCUGGAGUGCAGGAGGGGUAAGCGGAAUUCCUAGUGUAGCGGUGAAAUGCGUAGAUAUUAGGAGGAACACCGGUGGCGAAGGCGGCUUACUGGACUGUAACUGACGUUGAGGCUCGAAGGCGUGGGGAGCAAACAGGAUUAGAUACCCUUGUAGUC